rnacentral:rRNA from 1 species
GGGGAGUACAGAGUUCAUGCCCGAAAGGGUAGACCUCCCACCCUUGUGUAUUAUUACUUUGUUGCUUUGGCGAGCUGCCUUCGGGCCUUGUAUGCUCGCCAGAGAAUACCAAAACUCUUUUUAUUAAUGUCGUCUGAGUACUAUAUAAUAGUUAAAACUUUCAACAACGGAUCUCUUGGUUCUGGCAUCGAUGAAGAACGCAGCGAAAUGCGAUAAGUAAUGUGAAUUGCAGAAUUCAGUGAAUCAUCGAAUCUUUGAACGCACAUUGCGCCCCUUGGUAUUCCGGGGGGCAUGCCUGUUCGAGCGUCAUUUCAACCCUCAAGCUUAGCUUGGUAUUGAGUCUAUGUCAGUAAUGGCAGGCUCUAAAAUCAGUGGCGGCGCCGCUGGGUCCUGAACGUAGUAAUAUCUCUCGUUACAGGUUCUCGGUGUGCUUCUGCCAAAACCCAAAUUUUUCUAUGGUUGACCUCGGAUCAGGUAGGGAUACCCGCUGAACUUAAGCAUAUCAUAAGCCCGGAGGAA